rnacentral:rRNA from 1 species
GGCUUGAGUGUGGUAGGGGCAGAGGGAAUUCCCGGUGUAGCGGUGAAAUGCGUAGAUAUCGGGAAGAACACCAGUGGCGAAGGCGCUCUGCUGGGCCAUAACUGACGCUCAUGGACGAAAGCCAGGGGAGCGAAAGGGAUUAGAUACCCCUGUAGUCCUGGCCGUAAACGAUGAACACUAGGUGUCGGGGGAAUCGACCCCCUCGGUGUCGUAGCCAACGCGUUAAGUGUUCCGCCUGGGGAGUACGCACGCAAGUGUGAAACUCAAAGGAAUUGACGGGGGCCCGCACAAGCGGUGGAGUAUGUGGUUUAAUUCGAUGCAGCGCGAAGAACCUUACCAGGGUUUGACAUCCUGCGAACCUCUUGGAAACGAGAGGGUGCCUUCGGGAACGCAGUGACAGGUGGUGCAUGGCUGUCGUCAGCUCGUGUCGUGAGAUGUUGGGUUAAGUCCCGCAACGAGCGCAACCCACGUCUUUAGUUGCCAGCAUUUAGUUGGGCACUCUAGAGAGACCGCCGGUGAUAAACCGGAGGAAGGUGUGGAUGACGUCAAGUCAUCAUGCCCCUUACAUCCUGGGCUACACACGUACUACAAUGCUACGGACAAAGAGCAGCAAGUUCGCGAGGACAAGCAAAUCUCAUAAACCGUGGCUCAGUUCAGAUCGUAGGCUGCAACUCGCCUACGUGAAGGAGGAAUCGCUAGUAAUCGCAGGUCAGCAUACUGCGGUGAAUACGUUCCCGGGCCUUGUACACACCGCCCGUCACACCAUGGAAGUUGGCCACGCCCGAAGCCGUUACUCCAACCCUUGUGGAGGAGGACGUCGAAGGUGGGGCUGAUGACUGGGGUGAAGUCGUAACAAGGUAACCGUA